AGUCGAGGGGCAGCAUGAUUUGUAGCAAUACAGAUUGAUGGCGACCGGCGCACGGAUGAGUAACGCGUAUGCAACUUACCUAUCAGAGGGGGAUAGCCCGGCGAAAGUCGGAUUAAUACCCCAUAAAACAGGGGUCCCGCAUGGGAAUAUUUGUUAAAGAUUCAUCGCUGAUAGAUAGGCAUGCGUUCCAUUAGGCAGUUGGCGGGGUAACGGCCCACCAAACCGACGAUGGAUAGGGGUUCUGAGAGGAAGGUCCCCCACAUUGGUACUGAGACACGGACCAAACUCCUACGGGAGGCAGCAGUGAGGAAUAUUGGUCAAUGGCCGAGAGGCUGAACCAGCCAAGUCGCGUGAAGGAAGAAGGAUCUAUGGUUUGUAAACUUCUUUUAUAGGGGAAUAAAGUGGAGGACGUGUCCUUUUUUGUAUGUACCCUAUGAAUAAGCAUCGGCUAACUCCGUGCCAGCAGCCGCGGUAAUACGGAGGAUGCGAGCGUUAUCCGGAUUUAUUGGGUUUAGAGGGUGCGUAGGUGGUGAUUUAAGUCAGCGGUGAAAGUUUGUGGCUCAACCAUAAAAUUGCCGUUGAAACUGGGUUACUUGAGUGUGUUUGAGGUAGGCGGAAUGCGUGGUGUAGCGGUGAAAUGCAUAGAUAUCACGCAGAACUCCGAUUGCGAAGGCAGCUUACUAAACCAUAACUGACACUG
rnacentral:rRNA from 1 species